CUGUGAACCUCAGGACUGAACUAAGAUAGCCAAUCAGCACCUGGAGAGCCAAAGGCAUGGGACAGAAUUGAAGACCCCAAAACCAACUCACCAUGUUUCUGGUCAGCAUGACCCUGGGCCACAUGGCCCUCGGGUGUGGUCUCUGAGCCAUUCUGGGUAUUCUAAAUGCACCAGAGUGCCACUUGGAUAUCUUUAUUUUGCAGUAGAUGCUUCUGGUUGUUGUAUAAUCAAGAUGAGAACAUUUUACUCAGGCAAUGCCUCUAGGAUCAAAGCCACCGUUUUAAUAACUCCCUGGCCACUCUGAUCAUUUUUGAAGAAAAUAAUUGCACAAUUCCCAGGAAAAAAAAUCCUUGAGAAAUCGUGUCACUGGGUACAACCUUGGUCAAGUCGUGUGAGGCUGACUCAGGAAACGCCGGGGCCAGGGGUGUUCGCGCUCAGCCAGACAUGAGGGCAACAGUGUCUCCUUAUAGAUUCACACUUGUAAAAUCGCGUUAGAAGCAGUCGGUCUUUACGUGGUGUUUAACUUACUCUGCUUUAAGAUGUCAUUGACAAGAUGUGAGUAUUGCUGUAAUUUGGAACAGUGACUCUGGAGAAGAGAGCGUAAUUCACACUGCACGUACUCCGACCCUGGCUAGCUCCAUGACAGUUUAUGUUUCUUGUGAAAGCAGCCUGCUUAUUG
rnacentral:lncRNA from 1 species